AUUGAACGCUGGCGGCAGGCUUAACACAUGCAAGUCGAGCGGUAACAGAGAGAAGCUUGCUUCUCUGCUGACGAGCGGCGGACGGGUGAGUAAUGCCUAGGAAUCUGCCUAGUAGUGGGGGAUAACUUGCCGACAGGUAAGCUAAUACCGCAUACGUCCUACGGGAGAAAGGAGGGGACCUUCGGGCCUUUCGCUAUUAGAUGAGCCUAGGUCGGAUUAGUUAAUUGGUUAGGUAAUGGCUUACCAAGACCGCGAUCCGUAACUGGUCUGAGAGGAUGAUCAGUCACACUGGAACUGAGACACGGUCCAGACUCCUACGGGAGGCAGCAGUGGGGAAUAUUGGACAAUGGGGGGAACCCUGAUCCAGCCAUGCCGCGUGUGUGAAGAAGGUCUUAGGAUUGUAAAGCAUUUUAAGUUGGGAGGAAGAGCAGUUAACUAAUAUUUGACUGUUUUGACGUUACCGACAGAAUAAGCACCGGCUAACUUCGUGCCAGCCGCCGCAGUAA
rnacentral:rRNA from 1 species